rnacentral:rRNA from 1 species
UACGUAGGGGGCUAGCGUUGUCCGGAAUCAUUGGGCGUAAAGAGCGCGUAGGCGGCUGGAAUAGUCCGGUGUGAAAUCCACAGGCUUAACCUGUGAAUGCCGCUGGAAACUGUCUGGCUAGAGUCCGGAAGGGGCGAGUGGAAUUCCUGGUGUAGCGGUGAAAUGCGCAGAUAUCAGGAGGAACACCGGCGGCGAAGGCGGCCCUCUGGAUCGUUGCUGACGCUGAUACGCGAAAGCGUGGGGAGCAAACAGG